GGCCAAAAUGGCUCAGUUGGCAGAGCGACGCACUCGUAAUGCGUAGGUCCCCAGUUCGAUUCUGGGUUUUGGCUA
rnacentral:tRNA from 1 species